UGCUGCAUGGCUGUCGUCAGCUCGUGUCGUGAGAUGUUGGUUAAGUCCGCAACGAGCGCAACCCUUAUCAUUAGUUGCUACGCAAGGGCACUCUAAUGAGACUGCCGGUGACAAACCGGAGGAAGGUGGGGAUGACGUCAAGUCCUCAUGGCCCUUAUGGGUAGGGCUUCACACGUCAUACAAUGGUCGGUACAGAGGGUUGCCAAGCCGCGAGGUGGAGCCAAUCCCAGAAAGCCGAUCGUAGUCCGGAUUGUUCUCUGCAACUCGAGAGCAUGAAGUCGGAAUCGCUAGUAAUCGCGGAUCAGCAUGUCGCGGUGAAUACGUUCCCGGGUCUU
rnacentral:rRNA from 1 species